AAGGGGACCACCCUUAAGAAAUCCAAAAAUGAAGGGGAUGAGUGGUGAUUUUUGUUAUAGGAAUAAAAAAAAAUAAGAGUACUCCACUUGUCUAUAGUUUCUGGUGAGCUCAAAAUUUUCCUUUCUAAGCUGAUUUGGAAUGCAAGUGUGUCAAGCAAGAUGAGUUUCCCUUUUUUUUUUUUUGGGAUGAGAAAUAGAAUGGAAGAAAAUUCUGAGUAUUGGGAAACUUAUGAGGAGAGGUGAAGUUUAGUUAAUAGGUGUUGCCUUUGCAAUGAGAAAAGUAAAUCCUGUGUUCAUAUCCUCAUCCAUUGCAAAUAAAAGUCUUCUCUUUGUUUGGUUCAUACUUGUUAGCCAAGGCUCAACCACUCCCUAAUUAUACUACCUUGCUUGCUUAAGAUGUGCACCUUAUUAGAGGCACACCUCGUCUACUUUGUUUUCCCCUUUUUAACACUCUAUUCUUAAAAUUUUUUACUAUGUAUUAAAAUUUAUAUAAUUUCAUUAUUUUGUUGCUGAAUGCUUCUUUAAAAUGUUUGGAAUCUUAAAAUUUUUGUUGCUUGGAUUCACGGUUGGCUAAUAUUUUACAAAAUUGAUAUGCAUACUAAGUUGCAUUUCAUUUUGCUUGGGAAUGAUUGUGCUUCAAGUGUGCCUUACUCCUAUUAAUGAGAUUAAUUAAAGUUAAAUAUUUUUAUUAAACCACUCACAUAUUUUUAGUCAAUAUGAAAUCAAAAUAAUAUAAUAUUUUUAUUUAAAAAAAUUAAAGUUAAAUAUUUUAAAUCAAGCAAUAUAGUUUUAUAUAUAAAAUUAGAGUUAAAGUCGUAGUUGAUGACUACGACUUUGACUAUUUUUAAAGUAGUCAAAGUUGUAGUUACCAACUAUGGUUUUAGAAUUAAAGUUAAAGCCAUAGUUGGUGACUACAACUUUGACUACUUUUAAAAAUAAUCAAAGCUGUAGUCACCAACUACGGUUUUAAACUUAAAGUUAAAACCAUGGUUGGUGACUACGGUUUUGAUCGUUUUUAUCAAAUAAAACCGUAAUCACCAACUAAACCGUAGUCACCAACUACAGUUUUAUGAUGUGAUAAUUUACAUGGUACAUAAGAUAUUAUUUUUAGAAUCGGUUUACUUUAUGGAAUUUUUUUUUAAAAAAAGUUGCAUUUUGGUCAAAGCUCCAAAGAUGGAGAGGGGUUGGUUUUAGUGAUGGGCUUUUCCAUGUUGGCCUUAAUGUAUUAACUAAAGGGCCUGUCUUUUUCGUGGGCCUCUAUUUGGCAAACACUAGUUUGCAUUCUGUCACGUCAGAAUGCUAAGCUAUGGAUAAUUACGAAACAUGGGUGCUUACGACGGAUGAUUGUGAUUCUUGGGAUUUUGGAAGUAUUGUGAAGUGGGCAUUGUGGAAAAAUAAGUUACUUAUUUGAUGAUCAUGACUACUGUCAUGGUUCAUAAGUCUUGAAGUUCUUUCAACAAACCCAAUUUUAAGUUGACAACCUCUCCUUCCCCUUCCCCACCCCUUCAUAUCCAAACAAACAAUAGGAUGGGGUGUGUAGCCAUCUCCAUCAUUGAAUAAUUUAUGAUAGGAUUUGUAUCUUUGAAUGAUGGUACAAAUAAAUACGUUAAAAAACAUGCAUGUGUUAUCAUUAAUUAUCGGUAUUUAUUCCAUAUUUAUUGAAGCAAUAUCUUUCGAGUGGGAUACAACUUGGACAAGUUGACUUCAUCCAACCUAAGUCGAACCCGAUAAUUAGACAAUCAAUUUUAGUACUUAGAUUCAUUCAUAUUAUAUUUUUUCGACAUGAAUUCAAUUUGGAUUGUGAUUAGACUUCGAUCAAAAUUUAAAUAACUCGAACUUAACCAAAAUCCGAUUUAAUAUUUGUAUGAUAAUUAUGAUAUAUAUAUCAUCCUAUAUAAUGAUAUUAAUUUUUUUGACAAAAAAAAAAAAUUAUCAAAUUAUAAUUAUAUAAUUUUUUUGGUCAUUUUUCAGUAAAAUAUAUAAAUUUGUUUUUAUUUUUUUUUUAUUAUAUAAAACUUGAUUCCAUUUAUUAUUUAAUUAUUGUAUGUCAAAAUUUUGAAUCAUAUAAUCAGAUUCACUUCAAUUUAAAAAAGCGAGACUAUUAACCAUUAACUUGACUCAUCCCAUAAAGUAGACCCCGGUAUCAAAUAAUCAUACCAAUUUCUUAAUAAUGAAAAAAAAUCCAUAUUUUGUUAAUGAUAUAACGAGAUUCAAAGAUGUGCAUGAGUUGAUCGGUGAUAACUUUUCGAUAUCUACCAUGUAACUUCUGGUAGGAUUACACACUUCUUACAGUGAAAACAAGCAGAAUUUGUUGGCAACUCAUGUGAAUUGGGCACGGCAAAUUCAGGCAAACCCCACUUCGAUGGUAUGUGAAAACACCCUCAAGUCGUUGAAGUACUUGGGCCAACCAAAGCUUGACUCAUUGACUUGUUCUUUUACACAUGAUCUAAUGAGAACCAGCGAAGCAGCCACCAAGCUUCGUUGACUCAGAGAGAGAAGAGAAGCUGCUCACUCUUUAGACCCACGGAAUCCCUGGAUGCAUCCUCGAAAUUGGACUAAUAUUAUCAGGGUUUUAGUUUCUCCAAAAAGUCCAUACGACGUCGUCUCCCACAUAGGGCUUUUGGCCUUUUUGUCCACCUUUGCAGACUGGCUUUUGCUGACCACAGGCUUGACCAGGGGAUGACACGGUUUUAUUGUAUCUAUAAAUUUGGUGUUUCAGAUCGACCUUCUUCCUCCAUCCCUUUCUCCACUACUCUUCUUCUUUUUCAGUGUCUGGUCUGGUAUCAUUUCCAUAACUCAAUGGCCAUGAAGGUCUGUUGUCUCUUUGAUAUAGCUUUUUGUUUUUGGGUUUGCUCUGUUUUCUUUGAGGAAUAAGCUUGCAUGGCUGUGAUGGGUUUUGUCUGCUUGGUUGCUGAGAAACUGACGAAAAGGAAAAGGAAAGGAAAGAAAAGAUGUUGGAACCUUUUUGAAAAGCUUAUUCUUCUACGAUUAGAAGAAUUGAGUUUUCUUGUUGUUUCUUUUCCUAAUUUUUCUCAGAAAUCAAACAGAGCAUUAAGGAAUUUGAAUAAAAUUUAUGGUUUUGCUUGAUUUGAGCUCAUAUUCUCACUUCGGUUGGCUUUAUAAAGAUGAAAAUUUUCUGGGUCUUCUGAUAUUUUUCUUAUUGUUGAUGGGUGUUCCCCUUUUUCUCUGAAUCACAGCAUAUCUCAGGCUGUUCUUUAUUUUGUUGUGACAGAAAACAAUCUUGAAGGUGGAGUUAUUCGAUGACAAAAGCAAGCAGAAGGCCAUGAAGAAUGUCGCUUGCCUUCCAGGUAUUGAAUCUGAAGUUCUUGCAAAAUUCACUCUAAUCCCUGUUUGGUUUAUGUGAAAACUGAGCAAAAUUAAGAGUUUAUUUUCAUCCAAAAGACUAAAAAAAUCACACAAUGAUUUCGUUGGCUUUCUCUUCUUUUUCCUACUCUUUCCCAUCAACCAAAUGGUUUAUUUAACUCACAGAAGAAAACCCAGUUCCUAAAAGCUUAAAAACUACUAAAUCUGAAUUGUUUUGAAUUGCAAUUUUGCAGGAGUUUCUUCAGUUUCCAUGGAUAUGAAGGACAAGAAAUUGACUGUAAUUGGAGAUGUGGAUCCAGUAAGCAUAGUGGGCAGGUUGAGGAAGCUUUGCCACCCAGAGAUAUUAUCAGUUGGCCCAGCAAAAGAGCCAGAGAAGAAGAAGGAGGAACCCAAGAAAAAAGAGGACCCUAAAGAUCAAUGGGCUGAUCUUGUUAAAGCAUACCAAGCUUAUAAUCCUCACUAUACCACACACUAUUUUGUUAGAAGUGCGGAAGAAGACCCGAAUGCUUGUGUCAUUUGUUAAUCACCAGAUCAUAGAAGAAUCCAAAAAGGCAAAAGCAAUAGUAUCUGUGUGUGGGUAAUUAUAGAUAUGGGUCUUCUAUAAUGAUGGUGCACCCAAGAACAGAAGCCUUAUGUACAGUACUGGAUGGUGGGUGUUUGAUUUUCUAUUGUAUGCCAGUUUUCAUUUGGAAUGUAUCAAAUUUUGGGUUGUUUUUUUUUUCCAUGAAUGAAGUAAGAACUUGGAGUUGUUAUGAUAAUUGAAUAUUCUGUCUCCUUGGUGAUGGAAAUUUGAGAUGACGACAUAGUAAAGAAUGUCUCCUUUUGUUUCAAUUAUUUCGUAUCCUUUUAAGCUUUUCGCCAACAAAAAAAAAAAAAAAAAAAAAAAGGAAGAAGAGAAAGGAAACUUGGAUACUUUAUUAUUGAGUGGCUCACUACCAUACAAUUACAAUCCAUUGAUGAGGCUGAAAAGUUUGCUCUUCUUCUAUUCAUUUCAAAUUAUUGUGACCAUUUGUCUCUCAAUUCCACUUUUGUGGGAGUUUCUAAAGAAGAUAUUUACAUAUUUUGUGAUGAUGGAUACAAGAAUUGAUCUUUGUUUUUUUUUGGUAUUAUUGAGAAGUGUCUCAAAUUUUUAAUUAAUAUAAAAAAGUAAUUGAAAAUAUUUUUAUAAAUAUUAUAUGUUAUUAAGAAAAGGUAAUGUGAUAGGCAUAACUUGUGAAGAGUAUGUUCAGGACCAUCUAUCGGUAUAUGCAUGCAUGAAUCACUUUAAAACAUUAUAUACCCUUUUUAUUCUCUUUCAUUUACAGGUAUAUGCAGGAAUCACUUUAAAACAUUAUAUAUAUUUUUUUUAUAUGUGGAUCGUUUUAUUUUUGUGUUCUUGUGUUAACAUGUUUACAUUGAAGCAACACAUAUAUAUGUUAUAAAUGCAGAAGUGAUUUGUGCCAAAUUUUUGGAAUCUAAGUGAUUGGUUUUUAGUGGGUUAUCAAACCAAUGUUGGCUCUUUUAUUCUCUCAUCAUCUACCUCUUUAGUUUUCAGGUUAAACUGAGCUUAAACUUAGAGAAAAUAUCUUAUAAAUAAACAUAUUAUAAAUUUUUAUUAUAUAAUAUAAGAUACAAAUCAUCACGAAAAAAUUAUUGUGGAACUUCAAGUGAUAAAUAAAAUCUUUCAAAUUUUCUAAUUAAUAAUAAUUUUAUAUCAUGUAUUAUAUAAAUUUAUGCAUCUUCUCAUUUUUUUUAAUAAAACUGAAUACAAAUUUUGUUAGUUGACAUUAAUAAUAAAAUAAAAAAUUUAAAAAUUAAGAGUAUAAGUAAAACUAAAAUAUUGAAAAAUUAAAUACAAUUAAAAUGAAAUAUUUAAAAAUUAAAUACAAUUAAAACCGAAAAACUAAUUUUUUUUUUAAAUAUUGGUUCCCAUUGUAUUUUCAACUAUUUCUAGAUAUCUCUAUUUUCUAUUAUUGUGUUUUAGUGAAGUCAAAGUCAACAUUUUAUUUUUAUAUUUUUAGUUUUAAAGUUUUUUUUUAGUUUUAAUUUUUAAAAUUUCUUAUUUUUUUAUUUCAAAUUAAUUUUUAUGAUAAAAAAAAUUGUUAAUUAGUAUUCAGAAAUACUUAUAAAAAAGUGCAUAUAUUUUAAAAUAUUUUUAAAUAAAUGAAGAUAAAUCAUAUUUAUAAAAUUUAGAAUUCUUUUUUCUAUAUUCUUUCAAAUUGACGGGCUAAAACCCAUUUUUCUUUUUAUUAAAAAUUAAUUAAUAUUUCAUUAUAUAAUAUAAAUAAAAAAUGUUUUAUUUUAUUUUUUGGUGUUGGGUAUAUAUAAGGAAAAGAAAAUGGAAACACACACUUAUGAAAAAAAUUCUUCAAAUUUUGUUCUUUUUUAAAUAAACUUGAAAACUUUGCCAAACACUUAAUAAAUCUUGGGUGGUAAUUUUUUAUGAAUAAAAUUUAUUUAUUUUUAAACUUAUCAUAGUUUUUCAACUUCUGCUUAAUGGAUUAGUCUAUAGAAGGCUAAGACAGAAAAUCCAAACAGAUAGCUUUAUUAUUCAUUGAUUUCAAGAUAUGGAAACUAUCUGCCUUUUAAUGGGUCAUUACAUUCCCAUAAAUCAUAAAAUUUAUUUCCUUUUUUUCCUUCAUUUUCUUAGGUUCCCAAUAACCUUUUUUUACUUCUCUUUGUCAAAUCCCUUCAAGUUCAUCUAUUUAUUUUCUUCCUUUUCAAAUUCACAUGUUUAAGCUCUUGCUUUUAAACAUUUGAAUAAAGAAUAAGAACGAGAAAUCUGAGAGUUGCUCCACUCUCGUGUCAAUCACUUUUAUUCCUCUCAUUAGACCAUUCGUAACACUUAUAGUCAUAACUGGAUUAUUUCCCAAUAAUUAUUGUAUCUAUGAGUCACAUUAAUUUAUUGAUCAACAAAAUCUCAAUCCUUAACUACCAAUGCAUUGUAAAUAUUGAGCAUCUUGUCUCGGAAAAAAAAGCUACAUCCUGGACUAAUAAUUUAAGUGAUACACAAUCAAUUUUGUUUUUUUAUUAAAUUAUUUGUUAGAAUAAAAAUAAAAAUAAAAAAUAUUUUUUUAGUCAUUCCUUAUGGUGGUAUUACGGAUUUAUAUAUAAUACAAACACUGUUAAAACAUUCAUCAUGUUUUCAAUUACUUUUUAAAAGGAGAAUUACCCAAAAGGGUGGGCUGGGCAGAACAAUUACUAGAAAGGGUGAUAUCUUUUAAUAAUUCUUGAGGAAUACUUUAAUAGGCUUAAUAUACCAAAACUGCCCUUUAACUAAAACUUUUAAAAUUCAAAGCAUUUAAAGCACUUCACUUGAUUUGUCAAUACAUUUAUGGUACAUGGGUCCCACAUUUAUUGUAAUUAUUGAUAUUUAAAUUUUAAAUCAAAAUUUUGGGUUUAACCCUUACAAUUAUAUAUAAUUUGUUAUUUAAAUUUACUAUUUAAAACAAAAAUACUUUUAAAAACUAUUUUCAAAAUAUCAUUUAUUGUUUUUUUACCUUUUUUUUUAUUUUAUUCUAAUUUUUAAUUUUAUGAAGAAAAAAAAUAAGUUUAUAAUUAUAUAAUAAAAAUGAUGAUUUUUUCACAUAUAUAUAUAUAUAUAUAUAUAUAUAUAUAUAUAUAUAUAUAUAUUAUAAUUUUAAAUUGAUAAAUUAUGUUUUUGUAUUAAAUUUAAGGAAGAUAAAAUAUUUAAUUUUUCAUUCAGAUUCUCUAAAAAGAAUAAGAAAAUGAUAGAUAAUGUUUAAUCAUUUUUUAUUUUUAUAAUAAAAUAAUUUAAAAAAAUUUAUAUGAUUUUUUUUCCUUUGCAUUUUUUAUUUUUUAUUUUAAUUUUCAUAUAAAUUUUUUUUCUCAAUGCAUAUGAUGUUAAUAUAUUUAAUAUGUUGAAUAUUAAUAAGGUAUAAUAGGUGAUCCUCAAGAUUAUUACUUUUAUUAUAAAAUACAGACACAACAAAAAUAUGUUAUAAUUACAAUAUAAAUACACUUACAUUACAAUAAAACCUAAUUAAGAAAUUUAUGAAAAUUUUUAUAAAAAUGGUAAUUUUGCAUGAUCAUACCAUAUUUCACAACAUACCUAUAUUAUAAAUAAUUUCUGAAAUAAAAUGAAAUACUAAUUUGAAUUCACGUAGUUUAUAUAUAUAUAUACAAAAUUAUUAAAUAAUUUCAAAACACUAAAUCAAUAUUGUUAAUAUAUUAAUACGAUGUGUUAAUACCAAUAGGGUAUGAAUAAACAUAUUUAGAAUUAUUACUUUUGUAAGUAAAUAUAAGUAUGACAUAAAUGCAUUAUACUUACAAUACAAAUACACUAUCAUUACAAUAUAUUAUAACAUAAUUUAAUUUAUUUUUACUUAAUUUUUUUCAUGUACUAUUACCCAAUGAAUAAUUGUGAGUUAUUCCAUUUAAUAGGUGUGUGUUUGUCAAUUGAAUAUUUAUAUAUUAUUCAAUUGAUGAGUACUUGUAAAAAAUAAUUAUUCAUUAUAUUAUGAUAACAAAAUUUUUAAUUGUAUGUUUUAUAUAUAAAACGAUAUAAUAACUUUAGGAUAUGGUUUUUAUUUAUGAGAUAUUAAAAAUUAUUUUUUUACAAGGUUCUUUAAAAAAUCUCAAUUUUUUUGAAAAAAAAAACAGCAAAUUUUUAAACAGUCAAUUGUUCAAAAGUGACAACAAUUUGAAAUGUACUGUUGAUUGCCUAUCAACUGUACUUAUCAUCAUGUAUGAGCCUCAUAUCAUUUAUCAACUUGUACUUAUCAUCGUAUAUGAACCUCACAUCAUUAACAAUCUCAAUUUAUUUAUAAAUAAUAUAAAAAACAUAUUUAAGGGUAAAAUUGUCCUUAAAAAAAGUGAGUCUUCAUAGUCAUUAUUUUUUCUAAUCCAUACUUUUGGAUAAUUCUCCUUUUUUUUUUUUAAAUACUAUUUAAAAAAAUCACAAAUUUAUUUUUAAAAUAACCUACUUUUAGAAUAAAUUUUUAAAAUAUUAUUUUCAGUUAAAAUUUUUAUUAUUGAGCAUCUUGUCUCGGAAAAAAACUACAUCUAGGACUGGACUAAUAAUUUAAGCGAUACACAAUUAAUUUUAUUUUUUAUUAAAUUAUUUGUCAAAAUAAAAAAUAUUUUUUUAGUCAUUCCUUAUGAUGGUAUCACAUAUUUAUAUAUAAUACAAACAUUUUUUUAGUCAUGUUUUCAAUUAUUUUUUAAAAUGCCAUUUAAAAAAAUCACAAAUUUAUUUUUAAAAUAACCUACUUUUAGAAUAAAUUUUUAAAAUAUUAUUUUCAGUUAAAAUUUUUACUAUUUUUUUAAAUUAAAAACUAUUUCGAAGAGACCAUUUCAAAAGUACUAUAUAAGAUAUUGUAUUUUAAUUAUUAAAAUAUAUUAUUUAAAUAAAAGCUCUACUAAUUCGGCCCAGACUCAUGGUCCAAAGCGUGGAGGCUUCUGGCAAUAAUUUGCGAUGACUGGUCAAUGCUGAAGGGCAGACUUGACGGAUUCAACGUUGACUGGCGGCCGAGGGUGGCGGCCGAACCGCCACAACCAAAGAUAGAGAGGUAUUGGUUUUAGGGAUGGGCUUUUCCAUGUUGGGCUUAAUGUAUUCGUUUAAAUGUCUUUUUCGUGGGCCCCCAUUUGGUAAACAUUUAUUUGCAAUUCUGUCACGUCAGGAUGUUAAAGUGAUAGAAAAUUACGGAAUGUGGGUGCUAUGAUUGUUAUUCUUCGUAUUUUGGAAGUAUUGUGAAGUGGGGACUGUGGAAAAAUAAGUUUUUUAUUUGAUGAUCACGACUACUGUGUGCGCAUGGUUCGGAAGUCUUGAAAUUCUUUCAACAAACCCACUUGUGACGUUCACAGCCUCUCCUGCUUUCCCCCUUGAUACCCAAACAAACAAUGGAAUGGGUGUGUAGCCAUCUCCAUCAUUGAAUAAUUCCCCCCCUUGAUACCCAAACAAACGAUGGAAUGGGAAUGUACCCAUCUCCAUCAUUGAAUAAUGUACGAUAGAAUUUGGAUCGUUGUAAAACGAUGGUACAAAUAAAUACAUAUUAAAGUCAUAAAAUUCAAAAGCAUGUAUGUAUUACUAUCAGUUAUUAAUAGUCGUUUAAUCUUUAUCGAAACAAUACUUUUCGAUUGGGAUACAACUUGAACGAGGUGGACUCCAUUGAACCUAAGUCAUAAUCAAUAAUUGGACAAAUCGAUUUUGAUUCUUAAAUUGAUUGAUUCAUAGUAUACUUUUUCAACGUGAAUUCAAUUUGGAUCGAGAUUGGACUUGGGUUAAAAUUUAAAUAACUCGAACUUAAUCAAAACUCGAUUUAACAUUUGUAUCAUAUUUAUGAUGUGUAUUAUCCUAUAUAAUGAUAUUAAUUUUUUUUUUUGGAUUUAAAAUACAUUAUCAAAUUAUAAUUAUAUCAUUUUUUUUAGAAAGAUAUACAAAUUGGUUUUAUUUAUUUUUUAUUAUAUUAAACUUGAUUUCAUUUAUUGUUUCAUUUUUGCAUGCCAAAAUUUUGAAUUACUUCAAUUUUAAAAAAAAACAAGAUUAUGUUUGAACUUGAGUUAACUAUUAACUUGACUCAUCCCAUCAGGUAAAACCCGAGUAUCAUAUAAUCAUACUUAUUUUUUAAUAAUAAAAAACAUACUUAUUUUUUAAUAAUAAAAAACAACCUAUAUUUUAGGAAGGAUAUAAAUAAAUGAGAUUCGAAUAUAAAGUAACGGACCUAAAGAUUUGGUGACAUGAUUUGAUUUUGGUGAUAACUUUUCAAUUUAUAAUUUCUACCGUGCAACUCCCGUGGGAUUACACACUUUUUACAAUGAAAACGACCAGAAUUUGUUGGUAACCCAUGUGAAUUAGGCACGGCAAAUUCAGGAAAAAAAAAAUGCAAGCCCCACUUCUAUAGCGUGUGAAAACACCCUCAAGUGAUUGAGGUACUUGGGCCAGCCAAAACCCCAACUUUGACUCAUAAACGUUCUUCCACACAUGAUCUAAUGAGAACCAGCGAAGCAGCGACCAAGCUUCAUUGACUCAGGAGAGAGGAGCGAAGCUUCCCACUCUUCACACCCACGGAAUCUCUCGAAGCAUCGCGGAAAUUGAACUAAAUCUUAUCAGGGUAUUAGUUUCUCCUAAAUGUUCAAACGACGUCGUCUCCCACGUAGGGUUUUUUGCCAUUUUGUCCAUCUUUGCGUCUGGCUUUUGCUGACCAUAUACUUGACCCGGGGUUGACACGGUUUUUAUUGUAUCUAUAAAUAUUGGUGUUCCGGGGACUCACUCCACCACCAAUUUCACAACUUCUUACACAUCAACUUCCCUUUCUCCACUACCCUUCUUUUUCAGUCUCUGGUCUGGUAUAAUUUCCAUAAUUCAAUGGAGAUAAAGGUCUGUUGUCUCUCUGAUAUAGCUUUUUGUUUUUGAGUUUGUUCUGUUUUCCUUGAGGAAUAAGCUUGCAUGGCUGUGAUGGGUUGUGAUGGGUUUUGGCUGUUUGGUUGCUGAGAAACUGAGGAAAAGGAAAGGAAAGAAAAUAUUUAGGGGCCUUGUUGAAAAGCUUAACUCUUCUGUUCUACAAUCAGAAGAAUUGAGUUUUCUUGUUGUUUCUUUUCCUAAUUUUUCUCAGAAAUCAAACGGAGCAUUAAGGAAUUUGAAUAAGUUCUAUGGGUUUUGCUUUGCUUGAGCUCCUAUUCUCACUUUAGUAGGUUUUGUAAAGAUGAAAGUUUUCUAGGUCUUUUGAAUUUUUUUUUUUAUUGUUGAUGGUUGUUCCCCUUUUUCUUUUUCUCUGAAUCACAGCGUAUCUCAAGCUGUUCUUUAUUUUGUUGUGACAGAAAAUAAUCUUGAAGUUGGAGGUAUUCGAUGACAAAGCCAAGCAGAAGGCCAUGAAGAAUGUCUCUUCCCUUCCAGGUAUUGAAUCUGAAGUUAUUGCAAAAUUUACUCUAAUCCCUGUUUGGACCUUUGGUUUAUGUGAAAACUGAGCAAAUUUAAGAGUUUGUUUUCAUCCCAAAGACUAAAAAAUUCACGCAAUGUUUUGUUUGGCUUUCUCUUCUUUUUCUUACCCUUUCCCAUCAACCAAAUGGUUUAUUGAACUCACAGAAGAAAACCCAGUUCCUAAAAGCUUAAAAACUGCUCCAAUCUGAAUGGUUUUAAAUUGCAAUUUUGCAGGAGUUACUUCAAUCUCCGUGGAUAUGAAGGACAAGAAAUUGACUGUAAUCGGAGAUGUGGAUCCAGUAUGCAUAGUGAGCAAGUUGAGGAAGUUUUGCCGCACAGAGAUAUUAUCAGUUGGACCAGCAAAAGAGCCAGAGAAGAAGAAGGAGGAGCCUAAGAAAGAGGAGCCCAAGAAAGAAGAGAAGAAGGACGCUAAAGAACAAUUGGCUGAUCUUGUUAAAGCACACCAAGCCUUUUACCCUCAAUAUGCCCCACACUACUAUGUUAGAAGUGUGGAAGAAGACCCAAAUGCUUGUGUCAUUUGUUAAUCACCAGAUCAUAGAAGAACCCAAAAAGGCAAAAGCAAUGGUAUCGGUAUCUGUCUAUGGGUGAUUAUAGAUAUGGGCCUUCUAUAAUGAUGGUGCACUCAAGAACAGAAGCCUUAUGUACAGUACUGAAUGGUUAGUGGAUGGUGGGUGUUUGAUUGUUUAUUGUUUGCCAGUUUUGAUUUGGCGUGUAUCAUAUUUUGGGUUGUUUUUUUCCAUGAAUGAAGUAAGAACUUGGAGUUGUUAUGAUAAUUGAAUAUUCUGUCUCCUUGGUGAUGGAAAUUUGAGAUGACGACAUAGAAAAGAAUAUCACCUUUUGUUUCAAUUAUUUCAUACCCUUUUAAGCUUUUCACCAAAAAGGAAAUAAAAAAAUAAAAAAGGAAACUUGGAAACUUUAUUGUUGAGUGGCUCACUACCAUAAAAAAUUACAAUCCAAUGAUAAUGAUCUAGAGGCUGAAAAUAUGCUCUUCUUCUAUUUAUUUCAAAUUAUUGUAACUAUCUGGCUCUCAAUUCUACUUUUGUGGGAGUUCCUAAAGAAGAUAAUUUACAUAUUUUGUGAUGAUAGAUACAAGGACCAUGUGGGAAUAUGAAGAAGAAUGAAUCAAUUCAAUGCACAAAUUCCUUACGGUUGUAAUACUAUCCACACAACAAAAAAGUACUCACACACACAAACACCAAAGAAACGAUAAUAGAAACACAAAGGUUUACAUGAUUAGAUCAAAAAUUGACCUACAUCCAUGAAUUGUAGCAACAAUUUUCACUAUUUGUAGUCAAUGAUACAAGACAAAAC
rnacentral:lncRNA from 1 species